AUGAUCAGAAUUUCAUCUGUGACUGUGCUACUCUGAGCAGCACUUUCUUUUCUUUCUCAGCUACAUUUAGAGUUCCUUGACUAUAUCUAUCCCCCGCUGACUGCCCAUCUACCUAACCUGUUUUCCUGUCCUACCUACAACCAGUCCUCCUUGCCUUUAAGAUUCCCAGUGAGUGGCAGUCCUUUGAUGUGGGAGCCUCGAGAAUGGCUCUACAAGUUCAUUUCAACCUUAAGAAUUCUUCAGGAUUUUGUAAGUGACCCAGAUGUUUUCAGGCUGUUAACAGUAUUCAUAAAACACGGUUCAGUGACGUCACCUAGGUAAACUAAACCAAAGAUUCAAAUACCUUGGAGGAAAAGACAUCGUAUCUUAGGGAAUCCUGAGAUCCGUUCUGUUGGGUUUGUUUAUUUUGAAGUUUAUCACAAAACAUAGAGGAUUGCCAGCACUUUAAUUACAACUUCCUAGAAUACCUCACGGCCCCUAGCAGGAGACUGUGACAUGCACUGUAGAUCAUCCCUCAUUUGACACACUGGUUUGUGGUGGGUGUACAAUGUUUUCAACAGGACUAAAUGAGGAAAUCCAAACUUCUCUACAAACCGACCCACAAAAACUGUAACUUGGGGGGAAUAAAAACAAAUGUGGGGCUUCUCACUGUCUCUACUAAACAUUCCAGAGCCACAUUCAGCUAAUAGUUGAGAAGUAUUCCUUCAUACAAGGGCUCUCGGGCCUGGCUGGACUGAGGGGUCACCUGGGGCCCUUUGGGCAUCUUGGAGAGGCCGGCUGCCCAUAUGCAGCUAGGCUGGAGAACCACUGCAGUCUCCCAACUUUAAUGGAACUUUUAUGUUUAAAUCUAGACUAAAACAAGCCAAAGAAGUCUAAAAAAUGAUUUAUGGCACAGCUGAUUGGUUGAGACUUGUUUCAAGAUUGACAAACAGAUGGGUCAGGUGGGGUGGUGUGCACUUGUGGCAAAUGGAGUAUAAUUUGACUGUGCAUUUUCAGAAUUCUUGGUUCUCAGAGGAAGAGGAAUUACCAUUUUUAUACACAGACAAGGCACUCAAUAUAUAAAACUCAUGUAAGGUGUUCAUGGCAUAGACUUUAUGCCUAUACUUCUCUCUUUUCAUUACACACAUGUCAAGUUUUGUUCAUCGUUUCUUAAUUGUACUCAUUAGAGUCAGUUUUUGGGGGAAAAAUGAAACUUUUGAUCUGAUGUGUGAAGGAUGUGCAUCUUAGACAAAUAAAUCUAUAGGAUAUUAGUAACAAUAAUCAAUGCCAAUGUACUUAUGGGUGGUUUGUUUUUAAUUUCUUCACCUACUUUCCAAAUCACCUUUACUUAGAUCAAAUUGCAUGUUGGUAUAUCUCCCAAUAAUAGCAAAACAUAACUUUCUGAUAUCUUUUGGCAUUUUAAAAGAACAGAUACUUGUCAAAUCUUGCAUUUAAGUUGAAUUGACUAAGAUAGAAGCUCACAAUACCAUAUAUAUUAUAUAUGGAAAUAUUAUAAUUUUUUAUGAUUCUUGAAGUUUUGAUGUAAAAGAAAAAUCUGCUGAAAGGUUCUUCAAUAGCAUUGAAAAACAAAAUACAAUCAAAUUCAAAUACUUAUUAUAAUUAAAUUUAAUUAAAUACAAUGCUAAUAAUUAUUAAUACUUAUUAAAUACUUGCAAGAAUAGCAUUCUUCAUUAUUUUUUUGUUUUUAGUAGUCAUUAACUUAAAGAGAAGAAAUAACUACACUCAAAGAAGUGGUUACAAUAUCAGCAAAAUAAAAAUGACACAACAGAAUUGAUGACUUUCGUGUCUAUCAAAUGGCUUGUAUGAAAAUAUACUAUUUUCAUCCCCAAUGAUCCUUUUAGUUAAAACCUUUUAGGGCAUGUAGCUCAUAAAAUCAGUAUCCAUUACAAUUUUGGUUAUUAUUAGUUUGUAAGUUUAGACCACCAUUUACCCCAAAAUGGAAAGAUAUGUUGAUGUCCAGAAAUCCAGGACCCCAUCAUCAACGGUGCAAGUGGUGUAUAUUUAUAUCACGUUUGGAGGUUUUCCAAGGUGCAUAACAUCCUUUUGGGGUUGCCUUGCUGGCCCAGAAGAGGGGUGCACCACCAGUCCAAGAAUCAGGAAAUGUGGGUGGUAGGACUGGUCUGCUAAGGAGGAGCCGCCUCACCCUGGGCAGAUUACCAGGUGUCUCAACCUAUCACCCAGGGAGGGAUUAGUUAGUUCUGUGGAGCUGUCAAGUUCCAGAAACCAGACAUAAAGCCCUCUACCUCUGAAGAGAUAACUGAUCAGCGUUGCUCUUUUUUUAGAAAUUCUGAAGAUACUUAACAACCAUAAAAGUGACUGCACUGUCCAAGUGCUUUAAUAUGGCAGAGAUAAUUUCUCUUUUUUUUUGCAAUCUGUACGUAGAAAAAUUCAUCAUUUUGUUAUGUUUCUAGGGAAAAAAUAUUUUUAAAAAUUUUAUCCAAAGGAAUUAAAAUAUCUGUUGUAUUUUAAAGCAAAUGGCUUGCUUUUAUAAUGUGGAAACCAUCUGACUUGCUGUGACUCAUGCUGAUCCCUCUUUUUAUCAGGGAGAAAAUGACUUGCAUCGGGUUCUUUUCAUGUUGUUAUUUCCUACUUUGAUCAGUUGUAUAUAAAUGUACAUUUUUGUUAACUUCUGCUGUGCCAGUUAGAAAUAUAUUUCCCAUAAGCUAUGCCUCCCAUUUAAGUCUGAUUAUGUACACUUUGCCUAGGUCUUUCCAAAAUAAAAUUUAUGUAAAUGUUUAUUUUAUAUAAAAUAUAAUGAAAA
rnacentral:lncRNA from 1 species